GAGUGACGCAUAAUAUGUGGGCCGCUCCGGAGUCGCGGUCGCGUUGUGUGUGAGUGAGGGGGAGAGAGUGCGGGACCUGAGGCGGCGUGUGUGAGCUGUGGCCGCUGGCGGGGUCAGGGGGGAGCGGCGGAGCCGCCCAGGAAGAUAAGGAAAUUGAGAUUUGGAGAAGUUAAAUAACUUGACCAAGAUCUCACAGGCCAAGUCAUGACUACAGUAGCGGUACAUGUGGACUCCAAAGCUGAGCUCACUACCCUGCUGGAGCAGUGGGAAAAGGAACAUGGCAGUGGGCAGGACAUGGUACCUAUCCUUACCAGGAUGUCUGAAUUGAUUGAAAAAGAAACUGAAGAAUAUCGUAAGGGGGAUCCAGACCCAUUUGAUGAUCGACAUCCUGGUCGAGCUGAUCCAGAGUGUAUGCUGGGCCACUUGCUGAGAAUACUCUUCAAGAAUGAUGAUUUCAUGAAUGCACUGGUGAAUGCAUAUGUGAUGACAAGCCGAGAGCCCCCUUUAAACACUGCCGCUUGCAGACUCCUACUGGACAUCAUGCCAGGGCUAGAAACUGCUGUCGUCUUUCAAGAAAAGGAAGGAAUUGUUGAGAAUCUUUUCAAAUGGGCCCAAGGGGCUGAUCAGCCACUGAGGACAUAUUCUACUGGUCUGUUAGGAGGUGCUAUGGAAAAUCAAGACAUUGCUGCCAACUACAGGGAUGAAAAUUCACAGCUGGUGGCAAUAGUACUUCGAAGACUGAGGGAGCUACAGCUUCAGGAAGUAGCUUUGAGGCAAGAAAGCAAGCGUCCUAGCCCACGAAAGCUCUCCUCUGAACCCCUUUUGCCUCUGGAUGAAGAAGCUGUGGAUAUGGACUAUGGCGACAUGGCUGUAGAUGUAGUGGAUGGCGAACAAGAGGAAGCUUCUGGAGACAUGGAGAUCUCCUUUCAUCUUGAUUCAGGCCACAAGACCAGUAGCAGAGUGAACUCAGCAACUAAACCUGAGGAAGGAGGAUUGAGGAAAAACAAGUCAGCAAAACAGGGUGACAGAGAGAGCUUUAGGAAAGCCAAGCAAAAGUUGGGUUUCUCAUCAUCUGAUCCAGAUCGCAUGUUUGUUGAGCUGUCUAACAGCAGCUGGUCAGAAAUGUCCCCCUGGGUGAUUGGCACCAAUUAUACCCUUUAUCCUAUGACUCCUGCUAUCGAGCAGCGACUUAUUCUCCAGUAUCUGACCCCUUUAGGAGAAUAUCAGGAGUUACUUCCCAUAUUCAUGCAACUUGGAUCACGGGAUUUGAUGAUGUUCUAUAUUGACUUGAAACAGACUAAUGAUGUCCUACUUACAUUUGAGGCACUCAAGCACCUAGCAUCUCUCCUGCUCCAUAACAAGUUUGCCACAGAAUUUGUUGCGCAUGGUGGAGUACAGAAAUUACUGGAAAUUCCUCGUCCUUCUAUGGCUGCAACUGGUGUAUCCAUGUGCUUGUAUUACCUGUCCUACAACCAGGAUGCCAUGGAAAGAGUUUGCAUGCAUCCCCACAACGUUCUCUCUGAUGUGGUGAACUACACACUGUGGUUAAUGGAAUGUUCUCAUGCUUCAGGAUGCUGCCAUGCUACCAUGUUUUUCUCAAUCUGCUUCUCCUUCCGGGCUGUAUUGGAACUCUUUGACCGCUAUGAUGGUCUUCGUCGUCUGGUGAACUUGAUCAGUACUUUGGAGAUUCUAAAUUUGGAAGAUCAGGGUGCUCUUCUGAGUGAUGAUGAAAUAUUUGCUAGCCGCCAAACUGGGAAACAUACCUGCAUGGCCUUGCGCAAGUACUUUGAGGCUCACCUGGCCAUUAAAUUGGAACAAGUGAAGCAGUCACUUCAGAGGACUGAGGGUGGCAUUCUUGUUCAUCCUCAACCCCCGUACAAGGCAUGUUCAUAUACUCAUGAACAGAUUGUGGAAAUGAUGGAGUUUUUGAUAGAAUAUGGCCCAGCGCAGCUAUAUUGGGAGCCAGCUGAAGUCUUCCUCAAACUUUCUUGUGUCCAACUCUUGUUGCAGCUUAUUUCUAUUGCUUGUAAUUGGAAGACCUAUUAUGCAAGGAAUGACACCGUGCGCUUUGCUUUGGAUGUCUUGGCUAUUCUCACUGUUGUGCCAAAAAUUCAGCUCCAGUUGGCAGAAUCAGUGGAUGUGCUGGAUGAGGCUGGCUCCACCGUCUCCACUGUAGGUAUCAGCAUUAUUUUGGGAGUGGCUGAGGGUGAGUUCUUUAUUCAUGAAGCUGAAAUUCAGAAGUCAGCACUUCAGAUUAUCAUCAAUUGUGUGUGUGGCCCGGAUAACAGAAUUUCUAGUAUUGGCAAAUUUAUCUCUGGAACUCCUCGGAGAAAGCUGCCUCAGACUCCCAAAAGCAGUGAGCACACUCUGGCCAAGAUGUGGAAUGUGGUCCAGUCCAACAAUGGCAUCAAGGUGCUUCUGUCCUUACUUUCCAUCAAGAUGCCCAUCAUAGAUGCAGACCAGAUCCGGGCCCUGGCCUGCAAGGCCCUGGUGGGCCUGUCUCGCAGUAGCACUGUCCGGCAGAUCAUCAGCAAACUGCCCCUUUUCAGCAGCUGUCAAAUCCAGCAACUGAUGAAAGAGCCUGUGCUGCAGGACAAGCGCAGUGACCAUGUCAAGUUCUGCAAGUAUGCUGCUGAGCUCAUUGAACGGGUGUCAGGAAAGCCACUUCUCAUUGGCACUGAUGUGUCCCUGGCACGACUGCAGAAAGCAGAUGUUGUUGCCCAGUCAAGGAUCUCCUUUCCUGAGAAAGAGCUGCUUCUGCUGAUACGAAACCAUCUCAUUUCUAAAGGGCUUGGGGAGACAGCAACUGUGCUGACGAAAGAGGCUGACCUGCCCAUGACUGCUGCCUCCCAUUCUUCUGCCUUCACCCCAGUCACUGCUGCUGCUUCUCCUGUUUCUCUUCCCCGUACCCCUCGCAUCGCCAAUGGCAUUGCAACUCGACUGGGCAGCCAUGCUGCUGUGGGUGCCUCUGCCCCUUCUGCCCCCACUGCUCAUCCUCAGCCACGGGCCUCCCAGGGUUCACUAGCUCUGCCUGGCCCGUCUUAUGCAGGCAACUCCCCUUUGAUUGGUAGGAUCAGUUUUAUCAGAGAGAGGCCAUCACCCUGCAAUGGCAGGAAAAUCAGAGUGUUGCGGCAGAAGUCGGACCAUGGCGCCUACAGCCAAAGCCCAGCCAUAAAGAAGCAGUUGGACAGACAUCUUCCUUCCCCACCUACGCUGGACAGUAUCAUCACAGAAUAUCUUAGAGAGCAACAUGCUCGCUGCAAGAACCCAGUUGCCACCUGCCCACCUUUCUCUCUCUUUACUCCUCACCAAUGUCCUGAGCCAAAACAGAGGCGGCAAGCGCCAAUAAAUUUUACCUCAAGGCUAAACCGCAGGGCAUCAUUUCCAAAGUAUGGAGGGGUGGAUGGCGGAUGCUUUGAUAGGCACCUUAUCUUUAGCAGGUUCCGUCCUAUUUCAGUGUUCCGGGAAGCCAAUGAGGAUGAGAGUGGCUUCACCUGUUGUGCAUUCUCAGCACGAGAGCGGUUCUUGAUGCUUGGCACCUGCACUGGGCAAUUGAAGCUCUAUAAUGUGUUUAGUGGACAGGAGGAGGCCAGCUAUAACUGUCACAACUCAGCUAUCACACACCUUGAACCUUCCAGGGACGGGUCCUUGCUGCUGACAUCUGCUACUUGGAGCCAGCCUCUGUCUGCACUUUGGGGAAUGAAAUCAGUAUUUGAUAUGAAGCAUUCCUUCACAGAAGAUCACUAUGUUGAGUUCAGUAAGCACUCUCAGGAUCGGGUCAUAGGCACAAAAGGAGACAUUGCCCAUAUUUAUGAUAUUCAGACUGGCAACAAGCUGUUGACUCUGUUUAACCCAGAUCUUGCCAACAACUACAAGAGGAACUGUGCCACCUUUAAUCCUACAGAUGAUCUUGUCUUAAAUGAUGGCGUCCUCUGGGAUGUCCGCUCUGCACAGGCCAUCCACAAGUUUGACAAGUUCAACAUGAACAUCAGUGGCGUUUUCCAUCCGAAUGGGCUGGAGGUCAUCAUUAAUACUGAGAUUUGGGACCUUCGUACUUUCCAUCUUUUACACACAGUUCCUGCUCUAGAUCAGUGUCGCGUGGUGUUCAACCACACGGGGACAGUGAUGUAUGGAGCUAUGUUGCAGGCAGAUGAUGAAGAUGACUUAAUGGAAGAGAGGAUGAAAAGCCCUUUUGGAUCAUCCUUCCGAACAUUUAAUGCAACUGAUUACAAACCUAUCGCGACCAUUGAUGUGAAACGGAACAUUUUUGACCUAUGUACAGACACCAAAGACUGCUAUCUUGCUGUCAUCGAGAACCAAGGCAGCAUAGAGUCUCUGAACAUGGACACGGUGUGCAGGCUGUAUGAAGUAGGCAGGCAGCGUCUGGCAGAGGAUGAGGAUGAAGAGGAGGACCAGGAAGAGGAAGAACAGGAGGAAGAAGAUGAUGAUGAAGAUGAUGACGACACCGAUGAUUUAGAUGAGCUUGACACUGACCAGUUGCUGGAGGCGGAGUUGGAGGAGGAUGACAACAAUGAGAACGCAGGGGAGGAUGGGGACAAUGACUUUUCUCCCUCUGAUGAGGAGCUAGCAAACCUGCUAGAGGAGGGAGAGGACGGAGAAGAUGAAGACUCUGAUGCAGAUGAGGAAGUGGAACUGAUCCUGGGGGACAACUCAUGCUUGCUGUGGUCCUGGUUCUUCCUAGUGCUGCUCUGCCUGACUGGGGAGUAAUCACUGUGAUAUCCAGUCAUUUUUCAUGUAGCUAACCUGGCCAGCAUUCUCACAGCCAAGGUUGAGAUGAUUCAUUGAAGGAGGACUUCCUUUGUCCCUAGCGAUGGUCAGAGAGCCAGCCGACAGCUCUGACAACUCUGAUUUGGAAGAUGACAUCAUCUUAUCUCUAAAUGAGUGAGGAGCCAUCACCACGUGGAAGAGAUUCUUGGCAGGCGAGAAACUGAGUCAAAUGAAUUCAGAACAUCUUCCCUUCCCUUUCUCCCAGGGCUCUUUUAAGGAACUGCAUGCCCUGCAUUCAGAGGAUUAUGAUUUAGAGUCUCACUGGAAUCUGAGUCCUUCUAAAAACAAUAACCACACAAAAAAAAGACAACAGGGGUUAGGGCCUAUUCUGCUUCCACCUUCUCCUAGGAUGGACAUUAUCUUUCCUCAAGGGAAAAAAAAACCAACACGUCUCUGGGGUUAUUUCACAAUAUAUUUUCUUUGUAUAAUGUUCUUUACUUAAAGAACAAGAAAUAGUUUUUUAUAAAACUUAAAAAGAAAAAAAAAGGCAUUUAUAACUGAGGGUAUGAACUUAUAUCCACCAGGUCUCUUGUCCCUGCAGUUCAUUUUCUAUGGAAGAAAAUGAUGUCUAAAUAACAAUAGAGGCAUUUUUACAUACGUAUUUAAAUGAAAAGGAAAAUCGUGGUUUCUUAAAUUGAUAAGGAUUAAGAAUAUUUUAUUAUAAAUAUAAUAUAUGAUUUUUUAACCUGUUUUGUUGCCUCAUAUGCUGUCAGGUUAAUUUGUUUUCCUUUGUGCCAGAGGUGGGGAGGAGGUGCUGCUUGUUUGCUGAAUAAAUGCCUAAGUUCACCCACCUUCAUGGUUUGGGGGGUGGCAGCAAGGUCAUUGUGGAUAUUGGUUUUGUGGAGUUGAGGGAACUUAGGAUAUAAGUUCACUCCCUCUAUUUUUCUUUGUGAUUCAGUUUUUCAGAAAUCUUUUUUUCUUCCCUUUCUCCCCAAUGUGGAAAGUACAAAUCAAAGGCCUUUUUCUUUAAUGUAAAGUGUAUUUAUUUAAAAAAAAUACAAAAUAAACUACAAGUCUGUCUUUCUUUGUU